rnacentral:rRNA from 1 species
GUGAUAACUAUCUCGGGAGUUAGUCUGCGGGGGAUAAGCUCCGUAGUCGAGAGGGAAACAACCCAGAUCGUCAGCUAAGGUCCCAAAGUAAUACUCAGUCACUAAGGAAGUUGAUCUGCAAUGACAGCCAGGAUGUUGGCUUAGAAGCAGCCACCAUUUAAAAAGUGCGUAACAGCUUACUGGUCGAGCAGAUCUGCGCCGAUAAUGAACGGGAGUAAGUAUUACACCGAAGCUACGGGAUCCAGCAAUGGAUCGGUAGGAGAGCGCUGUAGGGGAGAUACAAGCCAUACGGUAACGAGUGGUGUCGGCCCCUACAGGUGAUUAUGCCGGAAUGAGUAACGAUAAAACAGGUGAGAAUCCUGUUCGCCGAAAGCCUAAGGUUUCCUGGGGAAGGUAAAUCCGCCCAGGGUUAGCCGGUGCCUUAGUCGAGGCCGAAAGGCGUAGACGAUGGAUAGCGGGUUAAUAUUCCUGCGCCAUGUGUGUGGAGCGAUGGAGGGACGGGC